rnacentral:rRNA from 1 species
AUACGUAGGGGGCGAGCGUUGUCCGGAAUGAUUGGGCGUAAAGGGCGCGUAGGCGGCCCGGUAAGUCUGGAGUGAAAGUCCUGUUUUUAAGAUGGGAAUUGCUUUGGAUACUGUCGGGCUUGAGUGCAGAAGAGGUAAGUGGAAUUCCCAGUGUAGCGGUGAAAUGCGUAGAGAUUGGGAGGAACACCAGUGGCGAAGGCGACUUACUGGACUGUAACUGACGCUGAGGCGCGAAAGUGUGGGGAGCAAACAGGAUUAGAUACCCUGGUAGUCCACACUGUAAACGAUGAAUGCUGGGUGUAGGGGGUAUCGACCCCUUCUGUGCCGCAGUCAACACAAUAAGCAUUCCGCCUGGGGAGUGCGGCCGCAAGGUUGAAACUCAAAUGAAUUGGCGGGG